rnacentral:rRNA from 1 species
GUGCUUACACAUGCAAGUCGAACGAUGAUGCUGGAGCUUGCUCCAGUUGAUUAGUGGCGAACGGGUGAGUAACACGUGAGCAAUCUGCCCUUGACUCUGGGAUAACUGCGGGAAACUGUAGCUAAUACCGGAUACUUUCACCGGAAGGCAUCUUCUGGUGAUGAAAGAAUUUCGGUCAGGGAUGAGCUCGCGGCCUAUCAGCUUGUUGGUGAGGUAACGGCUCACCAAGGCGACGACGGGUAACCGACCUGAGAGGGUGACCGGUCACACUGGGACUGAGACACGGCCCAGACUCCUACGGGAGGCAGCAGUGGGGAAUAUUGCACAAUGGGCGCAAGCCUGAUGCAGCAACGCCGCGUGAGGGAUGAAGGCNUUCGGGUUGUAAACCUUUUUUAGCAGGGAAGAAGCGAAAGUGACGGUACCUGCAGAAAAAGCACCGGCUAACUACGUGCCAGCAGCCGCGGUAAUACGUAGGGUGCAAGCGUUGUCCGGAAUUAUUGGGCGUAAAGAGCUCGUAGGCGGUUUGUCACGUCUGCUGUGAAAGUCCAAGGCUCAACCCUUGGACUUGCAGUGGGUACGGGCAGGCUAGAGUGCGGUAGGGGAGAUGGGAAUUCCUGGUGUAGCGGUGGAAUGCGCAGAUAUCAGGAGGAACACCAAUGGCGAAGGCACAUCUCUGGGNCGUAACUGACGCUGAGGAGCGAAAGCGUGGGGAGCAAACAGGAUUAGAUACCCCUGGUAGUCCACGNCGUAAACGGUGGGUGCUAGCUGUGGG